rnacentral:piRNA from 1 species
UAACCUGGACUCAGGUUAUGGGUAUU